GAUGAACGCUGGCGGCGUGCCUAAUACAUGCAAGUCGAGCGAACGGACGAGAAGCUUGCUUCUCUGAUGUUAGCGGCGGACGGGUGAGUAACACGUGGAUAACCUACCUAUAAGACUGGGAUAACUUCGGGAAACCGGAGCUAAUACCGGAUGAUAUUUUGAACCGCAUGGUUCAAAAGUGAAAGAUGGCCUUGCUAUCACUUAUAGAUGGAUCUGCGCUGCAUUAGCUAGUUGGUAAGGUAACGCCUUACCAAGGCAACGAUGCAUAGCCGACCUGAGAGGGUGAUCGGCCACACUGGAACUGAGACACGGUCCAGACUCCUACGGGAGGCAGCAGUAGGGAAUCUUCCGCAAUGGGCGAAAGCCUGACGGAGCAACGCCGCGUGAGUGAUGAAGGUCUUCGGAUCGUAAAACUCUGUUAUUAGGGAAGAACAUAUGUGUAAGUAACUGUGCACAUCCUGACGGUACCUAAUCAGAAAGCCACGGCUAACUACGUG
rnacentral:rRNA from 1 species